rnacentral:rRNA from 1 species
CCUACGGGAGGCAGCAGUGGGGAAUAUUGCACAAUGGAGGGAACUCUGAUGCAGCGACGCCGCGUGAGUGAAGAAGUAAUUCGUUAUGUAAAGCUCUAUCAGCAGGGAAGAAAGUGACGGUACCUGAACAACAAGCUACGGCUAAAUACGUGCCAGCAGCCGCGGUAAUACGAAUGGAGCAGGCGUUAUCCGGAUUUACUGGGUGUAAAGGGAGAGUAGGUGGCAGAGCAAGUACGGAGUGAAAACCCAAAGCUCAACUAUGGGAAUGCUUUAGAAACUGCUCAGCUGGAGUGCAUGAGAGGCAAGUGGAAUUCUUAGUGUAGCAGUGAAAUGCGUAGAUAUUAGGAGGAACACCAGUGGCGAAGGCGGCUUGCUGGACUGUAACUGACAUUGAUGCUCGAAAGUGUGGGUAUCAAACAGGAUUAGAUACCCUUGUAGUC